GGGUUGUGAGGUUAAGCGACUAAGCGUACACGGUGGAUGCCCUGGCAGUCAGAGGCGAUGAAGGACGUGCUAAUCUGCGAUAAGCGUCGGUAAGGUGAUAUGAACCGUUAUAACCGGCGAUUUCCGAAUGGGGAAACCCAGUGUGAUUCGUCACACUAUCAUUAACUGAAUCCAUAGGUUAAUGAGGCGAACCGGGGGAACUGAAACAUCUAAGUACCCCGAGGAAAAGAAAUCAACCGAGAUUCCCCCAGUAGCGGCGAGCGAACGGGGAGCAGCCCAGAGCCUGAAUCAGUGUGUGUGUUAGUGGAAGCGUCUGGAAAGGCGCGCGAUACAGGGUGACAGCCCCGUACACAAAAAUGCACAUACUGUGAGCUCGAUGAGUAGGGCGGGACACGUGGUAUCCUGUCUGAAUAUGGGGGGACCAUCCUCCAAGGCUAAAUACUCCUGACUGACCGAUAGUGAACCAGUACCGUGAGGGAAAGGCGAAAAGAA
rnacentral:rRNA from 1 species